AGAUUGAACGCUGGCGGCAUGCCUUACACAUGCAAGUCGAACGGCAGCACGGGAGCAAUCCUGGUGGCGAGUGGCGAACGGGUGAGUAAUACAUCGGAACGUGCCCAGUUGUGGGGGAUAGCCCGGCGAAAGCCGGAUUAAUACCGCAUACGACCUACGGGUGAAAGCGGGGGAUCGCAAGACCUCGCGCUAUUGGAGCGGCCGAUGUCGGAUUAGCUUGUUGGUAGGGUAAAAGCCUACCAAGGCUACGAUCCGUAGCUGGUCUGAGAGGACGACCAGCCACACUGGGACUGAGACACGGCCCAGACUCCUACGGGAGGCAGCAGUGGGGAAUUUGGACAAUGGGCGAAAGCCUGAUCCAGCCAUGCCGCGUGCGGGAAGAAGGCCUGGGUUGUAACCGCUUUUGUCAGGGAAGAAACGGUUCGAAGCUAAUAUACUACGGUACUAAUGACGGUACCUAG
rnacentral:rRNA from 1 species